CAAACCCACUGUCGUGUGGGGGCACAGGUGGGUGCGCUGGUUCGAUUCCCG
rnacentral:tRNA from 9 species